rnacentral:rRNA from 1 species
GCUCAGUAACACGUGGACAACCUGCCCUUAGGACGGGUAUAAACCCGGGAAACUGGGUAUAAUCCCCGAUAGGUCUCGACUGCUGGAAUGCAUUGAGAUCUAAAGCUCCGGCGCCUAAGGAUGGGUCUGCGGCCUAUCAGGUAGUAGUGGGUGUAGCGUACCUACUAGCCUACGACGGGUACGGGUUGUGAGAGCAAGAGCCCGGAGAUGGAUUCUGAGACACGAAUCCAGGCCCUACGGGGUGCAGCAGGCGCGAAAACUUUACAAUGCCGGCAACGGCGAUAAGGGGACCUCGAGUGCCAGGUUACAAAUCUGGCUGUCGUGAUGCCUAAAAAGCAUUGCAUAGCAAGGGCCGGGCAAGACCGGUGCCAGCCGCCGCGGUAACACCGGCGGCUCGAGUGGUAACCGUUAUUAUUGGGUCUAAAGGGUCUGUAGCCGGCCGGAUAAGUCUCUUGAGAAAUCCAGCAGCUCAACUGUUGGGCUUUCAGGAGAUACUGUUCGGCUCGAGGCCGGGAGAGGUGAGAGGUACUUCAGGGGUAGGGGUGAAAUCUUGUAAUCCUUGAAGGACCACCAGUGGCGAAGGCGUCUCACCAGAACGGACCUGACGGCAAGGGACGAAAGCUAGGGGCACGAACCGGAUUAGAUACCCGGGUAGUCCUAGCCGUAAACGAUACUCGCUAGGUGUCGGCCACGGUGCGACCGUUGUCGGUGCCGUAGGGAAGCCGUGAAGCGAGCCACCUGGGAAGUACGGCCGCAAGGCUGAAACUUAAAGGAAUUGGCGGGGGAGCAC